GACGAACGCUGGCGGCGUGCUUAACACAUGCAAGUCGAACGGACAGGCCCUGCUUUUGUGGGGUGCUCGAGUGGCGAACGGGUGAGUAACACGUGAGUAUCCUGCCCUUGACUUUGUGAUAUCUCCAGGAAACUGGGGCUCAUACCGCGUAGGAGCUCUUGCUGCAUGUUGUGGGUUGGAAAGUUUCGGCGGUAGUGGAUAGACUCGCGGCUUAUCAGCUUGUUGGUCGGGUAGUGGGUUACCAAGCCUUCGACGGGUAGCCGGCAUGGGAGGGUGAACGGCGACAUUGGGACUGAGAGACGGCGCAGACUCCUACGGGAGGCAGCAGUGGAGAGUAUUGCGCAAUGGGCGGAAGCCUGAUGCAGCAACCUCGCGUGCGGGAUGACGGCCUUCGGGUUGUAAACCGCUUUCGCCUGUGACGAAGCGUGAGUGACGGUAAUGGGUAAAAAAGCACCGGCUAACUACGUG
rnacentral:rRNA from 1 species